GGAGGGGUGCAAACGUUGUCCGGAAUUACUGGGCGUAAAGGGCGCGUAGGCGGACUUGGUAAGUCAGGAGUGAAAACUCAGGGGCUCAACCCUGAGCCUGCUUCUGAAACUGCAAGUCUUGAGGACCGGAGAGGAAAGUGGAAUUCCUAGUGUAGCGGUGGAAUGCGUAGAUAUUAGGAAGAACACCAGUGGCGAAGGCGACUUUCUGGACGGUACCUGACGCUGAGGCGCGAAAGCUAGGGGAGCAAACAGGAUUAGAUACCCUGGUAGUCCUAGCUGUAAACGAUGAGUGCUAGGUGGUGGUAGUUUCAACGCUUUCACUGCCGAAGCUAACGCAUUAAGCACUCCGCCUGGGGAGUACGGCCGCAAGGUUG
rnacentral:rRNA from 1 species